UACAGAGGGGGCAAGCGUUAUUCGGAAUUAUUGGGCGUAAAGGGCGCGUAGGCGGCUUUGCAAGUGACGGGUGAAAUCCCUCGGCUUAACCGAGGAACUGCCUGUCAAACUGCAUGGCUUGAGACCGGGAGAGGUGAGUGGAAUUCCCAGUGUAGCGGUGAAAUGCGUAGAUACCGGGAGGAACACCCGCGGCGAAGGCGGCCCGCUGGGCCUUACCUGACGCUGAGGAGCGAAAGCGUGGGUAGCGAACAGG
rnacentral:rRNA from 1 species